rnacentral:rRNA from 1 species
UACGUAGGGUGCAAGCGUUGUCCGGAAUUAUUGGGCGUAAAGAGCUCGUAGGCGGUUUGUCGCGUCUGCUGUGAAAACUCGGGGCUUAACCCCGGGCCUGCAGUGGGUACGGGCAGACUAGAGUGCGGUAGGGGAGACUGGAAUUCCUGGUGUAGCGGUGAAAUGCGCAGAUAUCAGGAGGAACACCAAUGGCGAAGGCGGGUCUCUGGGCCGAUACUGACGCUGAGGAGCGAAAGCAUGGGUAGCGAACAGG